rnacentral:siRNA from 1 species
CCAUACGUGUCGAUUUGUCCUUUU